rfam:Salmo salar isolate Sally breed double haploid chromosome ssa15, whole genome shotgun sequence.
AAUGCACCAAUUUGUAAGUCGCUCUGGAUAAGAGCGUUUGCUAAAUGAAUGUAA